GGAAUAUUGGACAAUGGGCGCAAGCCUGAUCCAGCCAUGCCGCGUGUGUGAAGAAGGCCUUCGGGUUGUAAAGCACUUUUGUACGGGAAGAAAAGCACUCGGUUAAUACCCGGGUGUCAUGACGGUACCGUAAGAAUAAGCACCGGCUAACUUCGUGCCAGCAGCCGCGGUAAUCCGGAGGGGGCUAGCGUUGUUCGGAAUUACUGGGCGUAAAGGGCGCGUAGGCGGUAUGUCAAGUCAGGGGUGAAAGGCCUGGGCUCAACCCAGGAAUUGCCUUUGAAACUGGCAAACUAGAGUCCGAAAGAGGAUGGCGGAAUUCCCAGUGUAGAGGUGAAAUUCGUAGAUAUUGGGAAGAACACCGGUGGCGAAGGCGGCCAUCUGGAUCGGCACUGACGCUGAGGCGCGAAAGCGUGGGGAGCAAAC
rnacentral:rRNA from 1 species